rnacentral:rRNA from 1 species
AUUUUGUUGGGAGAGUUUGAUCCUGGCUCAGGACGAACGCGGGCGGCGUGCUUAACACAUGCAAGUCGAGGGAAAGGCCCUUCGGGGUACUCGAGUGGCGAACGGGUGAGUAACACGUGGGUGAUCUGCCCUGCACUCUGGGAUAAGCCUGGGAAACUGGGUCUAAUACCGGAUAGGACCACACACUUCAUGGUGAGUGGUGCAAAGCUUUUGCGGUGUGGGAU